GACGAACGCUGGCGGCGUGCCUAAUACAUGCAAGUCGAGCGAAGUUUUUCUGGUGCUUGCACCGGAAAAACUUAGCGGCGAACGGGUGAGUAACACGUAAAGAACCUGCCUCAUAGACUGGGACAACCAUUGGAAACGAUAGCUAAUACCGGAUAGCAGCAUUAACUGCAUGGUUGAUGUUUAAAAGUUGGUUUUGCUAACACUAUGAGAUGGCUUUGCGGUGCAUUAGCUAGUUGGUGGGGUAAAGGCCUACCAAGGCGACGAUGCAUAGCCGACCUGAGAGGGUGAUCGGCCACACUGGGACUGAGACACGGCCCAGACUCCUACGGGAGGCAGCAGUAGGGAAUCUUCCGCAAAGGGCGAAAGCCUGACGGAGCAACGCCGCGUGAGUGAAGAAGGAUUUCGGUUCGUAAAGCUCUGUUGUUAGGGAAGAAUGAUUGUGUAGUAACUAUACACAGUAGAGACGGUACCUAACCAGAAAGCCACGGCUAACUACGUG
rnacentral:rRNA from 1 species